rnacentral:rRNA from 1 species
AUGGGGAGUCGAAGACAACAUAGUGUCAACCACUUUGGUCCAAUCUUGAGAAAGCCAUCCAUAGGCAAGGAACCAGGCAAACUCAAGAAAAAGUGCCUUCAACAAUUGCAGAGAACUCAACAGUCGUUUAGGGUAGCGUAUAACCAUGCUAAUGAAAGAGGUGAUGAUAAUGUUAUCAGAAGACCUCAACAAAAUAAUGUUGCAACAAAAAAACACCCCAAUUUCCUUUUGAGGAGCCUAGCCAUGCUAAGGCAGUGUCUCGACAAAAUGUCUCGGCACAUUCUUCAUGGCCAAAGAAAGGGAUCAAUAUUCCCCGGUGUUAAGGACGAUUCAAAUUCCACAUUUGGUAUUUCAAAGAAAGCAUACCCCUCUUUGAUGCUUCGUAACUCACGGAAUGAAGACCAUCGGAUGGCGAUGGAAGCCUCAAAUUCCAACUUAGCUUUGAAGGGUGAAAAAGGCAUGGAAGAUAUCCAGACCAACUUGGAGAUCAAUUGUGUUUCUUUACCUGGUAAGAACCUUAGCCACCAAACGGUCGAGGCAUCAUGCAUGGUCGAUUCAAUGGACCGGUGCAUUCAACUUGAUAGUAGAAAGUGCAAGACUAGCCUUUCGGAGGAUGGAAGAACCGAUGUGUACAAAUCUAAGAGUAAGAGGAUGAAGCCGUUAUUGGAAGAGAAGUUUGAGAAACGUGGGGUCGCUAGACUGACAAAAUCAAUGGGCAUCUCCACUAAGAACUCUAGCCUCGGGAAGGAUGAAAGAACCGUUGAUGAAAAGUUUAAUAAGAUGAAGAGGACUGAUAAUUAUAGUCAAACAAACAAAAGGAGAAGAUACGUAGUAUCUGACGAUGAAGCCGAUGAUGAUGGUGAUCAGAAUCUCACUGGUGCUAAAACUGGUGCUGCUGGAUUGACAACGCAGAAGGAUUGUCAUCCAGAAGUCUCUAAUCUAUUUGGUUUAGAAUCUUCGAAGCCAUAUCAGUAUUGUUCCCUGCCCAUCGAUGAACCUAUUUGGAGUGGAAUCAUUAAGUUAGGCAGUGGAAAAUUUGUUUCAUUGGCUGCACAUUUGUCAACUAAAUACUGUGAGAAGGUGUGGAAAUUGUCACGAUCACUUGAGGCGGUGGUUGAAGUAACAAAGCUUUCUAGACUGGAGGCUUGGCCUAAGAGCUUUGAGGCGUCAAGGCCCACUGAUGACAACAUUGCGUUGUAUUUAUUGCCCACCGAGAUGAGGCAAGAUGCAGACCUGGAACAACUUGUUAAAGAAGUCAUGGAGAAUGAUAUGGUCCUACGAGCUAUUGUUGGUGAAGCUGAGAUGCUGAUAUUCCCAUCUAUUCUACUGCCUGAGCAACAUCAAACUUUCCAAGGAAAACCCUACCUGUGGGCGGUAUUUAAGCGCAGAAAGGACAAGGUUCCCGUGGUGGAAGAGGAACAACAUGGCAAAGGACGUUGUGCACAGGAGAAGGGAAAACAGCAGGCUUCACAUUUCAGUGUGGGAGAAGGGUUAAACAUGGAUGAUGGAGCUUCUGAGGAAGCGGAGAUGCAAGGCAUGGAGCAGGAACAAAAUCCCACUACGGCAAGUCCAGCAAGAACUCCUACAGCUUCACCCAACACUCCAAGUCCUACAACUUCAGCUCCUACCGCAGCUGCCACAAUGUUUGCAAACCACAGACAGGUCCACUCAGGCUUUGCUGCUCCUACAGGGGCAUUGUUUGGUUUUGUGGUUCAGCGAACUCUGCGACUCGAGCAACUCAUCCAAGAGAUGCAACGCGAAGGCGUUGUGAUGGUUGCAAUGCAAGGGCAGAUGAUAGGGCCAGGACUUGGCUUGGGCAGGCAGUAG